AGUCCUUUAUGUGUAAAUCUUUGAAUAAAAACAAAAUUCUGCUAACUGAAAUAUCUUACUAGCAGUAAUAAAAAUCAAAAGAGUCAAUUUUUAGUAACGAUGAGUGAAGUAAUUUUGUAAUAAACUUUUUCUUUGAUAAGCCAAAGUUGGUAAAAAGACCAUCUUAUUCAGUUAUUACAUAGACUUGUUUAUUGGUGCAGAAAAUUGUACUUCUUGUAGAAUUUGCUACAAGUCUUAUGUCACUGUUGAUAUCAAUAGCGCACAGUACUGUGAAGAAAAGUUUUAAAUUUAGUGGCUUAAAACAAUCUUAUUUUAAGAUGUACUUUUUGUAUUAUGGUUUGACGACUUAAUUUUUUAAGCAAGCAUUACUGCGUUUAUAACUUACUCAUAGUUUAAAUAAUUAGACACGAAGCGUGACUGAUCUAUACAAGUUCUAGCUGCUUGCUCUUUAAAAACGAGAGAAAAGGCUUAAUUGGUGUUUGUUGCAAAAAACUCAAGUGAAACUUGUUUAGUGACGAAAGAUCAAUCAAAUCACGAGAUAGCUUGUUUUCUGCGAAAUUCUUUUUAGAGAAGCGUUUAAAACAAAAGCGUUUUGUAAAGCUACUUUUCUACUUUUGGUGG
rnacentral:rRNA from 14 species